UACGGAGGGGGCUAGCGUUGUUCGGAAUUACUGGGCGUAAAGCGGACGUAGGCGGCUUUGUAAGUUAGAGGUGAAAGCCCAGGGCUUAACUCUGGAAUUGCCUUUAAGACUGCAUCGCUAGAAUCGUGGAGAGGUGAGUGGAAUUCCGAGUGUAGAGGUGAAAUUCGUAGAUAUUCGGAAGAACACCAGUGGCGAAGGCGACUCACUGGACACGUAUUGACGCUGAGGUGCGAAAGCGUGGGGAGCAAACAGG
rnacentral:rRNA from 1 species